rnacentral:rRNA from 1 species
GACGAACGCUGGCGGCGUGCCUAAUACAUGCAAGUCGAACGCAGUGGGGACGGGUGAGUAACACGUGGGUAACCUCCCAUCAGAGGGGAUAACACUUGGAAACAGGUGCUAAACCGAUACGGAUGUAUGGACCCGCGGGGGAUUAGCUAGUUGGUGGGGUAACGGCUCACCAAGGCCACGAUGCAUAGCUGACCUGAUAGGGUGAUCGGCCACACGGGGACUGAGACACGGCCCAGACUCCUACGGGAGGCAGCAGUAGGGAAUCUUCGGCAAUGGACGAAAGACGGACCGAGCAACGCCGCGUGAGUGAAGAAGGUGUUCGGAUCGUAAAACUCUGUUGUUAGAGAAGCGGUAUCUAACCAGAAAGCCACGGCUAACUACGUGCCAGCCGCCGCGGUAAUAC